UGUCUGUGUGUGUGUGUCAGUAUGUCUGUCUGUCUGUGUGUCAGUAUAUAUGUGUGUGUGUAUAUCUGUGUGUCAGUAUGUGUAUGUGUCAGUAUGUCUGUCAGUGCGUCAGUAUGUCUGUUAGUGCAUGUGUAUGCAUGUGUCAGUAUAUCUGUCUGUGUGCCAGUAUGUCUGUGUGUGUGUGUCAGUAUAUCAGUCUGUGUGUGUCAGUGUAUGUGCCUGUGUGUGUCAGUAUUUCUCAGUGUAUGUGGGUGUCAGUAUAUCUGUCAGUGUGUGGGUGUCAGUAUUUCUGUCAGUGUAUGUGUGUCAGUAUGUUGAUCAG